CGGGGGGGAGCAAGCGUUGUUCGGAUUUACUGGGCGUAAAGGGCGCGUAGGCGGCCAGCGCAAGUCAGUUGUGAAAUCUCCGGGCUUAACUCGGAAAGGUCAACUGAUACUGCGCGGCUAGAGUGCGGAAGGGGCAACUGGAAUUCUUGGUGUAGCGGUGAAAUGCGUAGAUAUCAAGAGGAACACCUGCGGCGAAGGCGGGUUGCUGGGCCGACACUGACGCUGAUGCGCGAAAGCCAGGGGAGCGAACGGGAUUAGAUACCCCGGUAGUCCUGGCCUUAAACGAUGAAUGCUUGGUGUCUGGGGUUAUAAAGUCCCCGGGUGCCGUCGCUACGCUUUAAGCAUUCCGCCUGGGGAGUACGGUCGACAAGACUG
rnacentral:rRNA from 1 species